GGAGAAGCCGGGCCAGGUGUCGCGGUAAUAAUGAGGUGGCAAGAGUUAAUUGGAAUGACUUAGCGUAAAGUGUUCGCAGGCGGCUUAUUAAGGCAGGUGUGAAAUGCCUAGGCUGAACCUAGGAACUGCAUUUGAAACUAAUAAACUAGAGUAUCGUAGAGGGAGGUAGAAGUCCAGGUGUAGCGGUGAAAUGCGUAGAUAUCUGGAGGAAUACCAGUGGCGAAGGCGACCUCCUGGACGAAAACUGACGCUCAAGCACGAAAGCAUGGGGAGCAAACAGGAUUAGAUACCCUAGUAGUC
rnacentral:rRNA from 1 species